GACGAACGCUGGCGGCGUGCUUAACACAUGCAAGUCGAACGGAAAGGCCUCUUUCGGGGGGUACUCGAGUGGCGAACGGGUGAGUAACACGUGGGUGAUCUGCCCUGCACUUCGGGAUAAGCCUGGGAAACUGGGUCUAAUACCGGAUAGGAGCCAUUUUUAGUGUGAUGGUUGGAAAGUUUUUUCGGUGUAGGAUGAGCUCGCGGCCUAUCAGCUUGUUGGUGGGGUAAUGGCCUACCAAGGCGGCGACGGGUAGCCGGCCUGAGAGGGUGGACGGCCACAUUGGGACUGAGAUACGGCCCAGACUCCUACGGGAGGCAGCAGUGGGGAAUAUUGCACAAUGGGCGCAAGCCUGAUGCAGCGACGCCGCGUGGGGGAUGACGGCCUUCGGGUUGUAAACUCCUUUCGCUAGGGACGAAGCUUUUUGUGACGGUACCUAGAUAAGAAGCACCGGCUAACUACGUG
rnacentral:rRNA from 1 species